GACCAAUUGGGAACGCCGGGUCGGCGGGUGGAUGAACUCGGCUGUCUGUAAUGGCGGAGCGUGGCGGGGACGGAGGGGAAGGCGAGCGGUUCAACCCGGGGGAGCUGAGGAUGGCUCAACAGCAGGCCUUGAGGUUCCGAGGCCCAGCUCCCCCACCAAAUGCCGUGAUGCGAGGCCCGCCACCUCUCAUGAGACCACCUCCUCCUUUCGGCAUGAUGAGAGGCCCUCCUCCACCACCCAGGCCCCCCUUUGGACGGCCUCCUUUUGAUCCUAAUAUGCCACCAAUGCCUCCUCCAGGAGGAAUACCUCCACCUAUGGGCCCACCUCACCUACAGAGACCACCUUUCAUGCCUCCACCCAUGGGAGCUAUGCCUCCUCCUCCGGGUAUGAUGUUCCCACCAGGAAUGCCUCCGGGGACUGCUCCUGGUGCUCCAGCACUGCCUCCCACUGAGGAGAUAUGGGUAGAAAAUAAAACUCCAGAUGGGAAGGUUUAUUACUACAAUGCUCGGACUCGUGAAUCUGCAUGGACCAAGCCAGAUGGAGUUAAGGUUAUUCAGCAAUCAGAACUGACGCCCAUGCUUGCAGCCCAAGCACAGGUUCAGGCCCAGGCCCAGGCCCAGGCCCAAGCACAGGCUCAGGCCCAGGCCCAGGCACAAGCCCAGGCUCAGGCCCAGGCCCAGGCCCAGGCUCAGGCACAAGCCCAGGCUCAGGCCCAGGCCCAGGCCCAGGCUCAGGCUCAAGCCCAAGCCCAAGCGCAAGCACAAGCCCAGGCCCAAGCCCAGGCCCAGGCUCAGGCCCAGGCACAAGUCCAAGCACAAGCAGUAGGCGCUCCCACCCCUACCACCAGUAGCCCAGCACCUGCAGUGUCCACGUCAACUCCGACAUCUACCCCAUCCUCCACCACAGCUACCACGACAACUGCUACUUCAGUUGCACAGACAGUAUCAAUGUUUUCUUUUUCAUUAGCACCCACAACACAAGACCAGACCCCAAGUUCUGCUGUUUCAGUUGCCACACCUACAGUUAGUGUUUCAGCUCCUGCUCCUACAGCCACACCUGUGCAAACCGUACCCCAGCCGCACCCACAGACGUUACCUCCUGCUGUUCCUCACUCGGUACCUCAGCCGGCAGCAGCAAUACCUGCUUUCCCACCAGUAAUGGUGCCUCCGUUCCGUGUGCCCCUGCCUGGCAUGCCAAUCCCACUUCCAGGUGUAGCAAUGAUGCAAAUAGUCAGCUGCCCGUAUGUAAAGACAGUCGCUACCACCAAGACCGGUGUACUACCAGGAAUGGCCCCUCCUAUAGUACCCAUGAUCCAUCCCCAGGUUGCUAUUGCAGCUUCACCUGCUACCCUAGCUGGGGCAACAGCAGUUUCUGAGUGGACUGAAUAUAAAACAGCAGAUGGGAAGACGUACUAUUAUAAUAAUAGAACACUAGAAUCCACGUGGGAGAAGCCCCAAGAACUGAAGGAGAAAGAAAAAUUAGAUGAGAAGAUUAAAGAACCAAUUAAGGAGGCCUCUGAAGAGCCAUUGCCAAUGGAGACUGAGGAGGAAGAUCCUAAGGAAGAGCCUGUGAAGGAGAUAAAGGAGGAGCCCAAAGAAGAAGAGAUGACUGAAGAAGAAAAGGCUGCCCAGAAGGCAAAGCCAGUAGCUACUACUCCUAUUCCUGGUACUCCAUGGUGUGUUGUUUGGACUGGUGAUGAGAGGGUCUUCUUUUACAAUCCCACCACCCGCCUUUCUAUGUGGGACCGGCCUGAUGAUUUGAUUGGAAGGGCGGAUGUUGACAAAAUUAUUCAAGAGCCCCCUCAUAAGAAAGGAUUGGAAGACAUGAAGAAGCUAAGGCACCCGGCUCCGACAAUGCUGUCCAUCCAAAAGUGGCAGUUCUCAAUGAGCGCAAUUAAAGAAGAACAAGAGUUAAUGGAAGAAAUGAAUGAAGAUGAGCCUAUUAAAGCAAAAAAGCGGAAGAGAAUGUCAAAGAAGUCCUUUAUGUGGAUUGCCCGAGCUUCUCUAUUUAGGAGAGAUGAUAAUAAAGACAUUGAUUCAGAGAAAGAAGCUGCCAUGGAAGCUGAAAUUAAAGCUGCCCGAGAAAGGGCCAUUGUCCCUCUGGAGGCUCGAAUGAAGCAGUUCAAGGACAUGCUGCUAGAGAGAGGGGUGUCUGCUUUUUCAACAUGGGAGAAAGAGUUGCACAAGAUAGUAUUUGACCCUCGGUACUUGCUUCUCAAUCCUAAAGAAAGAAAACAGGUGUUUGAUCAGUAUGUCAAGACCAGAGCAGAGGAAGAACGCAGGGAAAAGAAAAACAAAAUAAUGCAAGCCAAGGAAGAUUUCAAAAAAAUGAUGGAAGAAGCAAAGUUUAAUCCAAGAGCUACUUUUAGUGAAUUUGCUGCCAAACAUGCUAAAGAUUCAAGAUUCAAAGCAAUUGAAAAGAUGAAAGAUAGAGAAGCAUUGUUUAAUGAGUUUGUGGCAGCUGCAAGGAAGAAAGAAAAAGAAGAUUCGAAGACGAGAGGGGAGAAGAUUAAAUCAGAUUUCUUUGAACUGUUAUCUAAUCAUCACUUGGAUAGUCAAUCUCGAUGGAGCAAAGUAAAAGACAAAGUAGAAAGUGACCCCCGAUAUAAAGCGGUGGAUAGUUCAUCAAUGAGAGAAGACCUUUUCAAACAGUACAUCGAGAAAAUAGCCAAGAAUUUAGACUCAGAAAAAGAAAAAGAGCUGGAGAGGCAAGCCCGCAUUGAGGCAAGCCUUCGAGAACGGGAAAGAGAAGUUCAGAAGGCGCGCUCUGAGCAGACGAAAGAGAUCGAUCGGGAGAGAGAGCAGCACAAACGGGAGGAGGCUAUCCAGAACUUCAAGGCUCUUCUGUCUGACAUGGUACGUUCUUCAGAUGUGUCCUGGUCUGAUACUAGGAGGACCCUCCGGAAAGACCACCGCUGGGAAUCUGGGUCCUUAUUGGAAAGAGAGGAGAAAGAGAAACUUUUUAAUGAACAUAUUGAAGCGCUUACCAAAAAGAAAAGGGAGCACUUUAGGCAGCUUCUGGACGAAACCUCUGCGGUGAGAGUCCCUUAUUGUCCCCGCCUUUCCUCCUCCAGAAUCUUCAUUUAUAGUUUGAUGUAAAAUACUGAUGUGAUUUUUAGUGUUUUGUUUAGACCUGUUAUUUGAAUUCUUAGGUUUUAUGACGUUCUCUUCUGCGUUUUCUCCUCUGUUUAAACAUGUCACGAUGUUCUCCCUAGUCAGGACUUAGUUCUUUUCGCAGCUGCUUCUUUGGUGAAUGCCCUUAGCUGUGAGUUACGGGUGGGCUCCCCUCCUUCCCCUUGCAGUGUGGCACUGCAGCCCCUUAUCUGGCAGGUCGUACACUUUGUCAUCCAGGUUUUCUUCCUCUUUAUUUGCUCUUUUUGGUGAUGGUUUCUUCAGAAGUUAUGAUGUUUGCCCAUGUAAAUACAGGGUUUGCAGGUGAUUGUCUUAGGCCACCUUGAAAGUAUGGCCAUGAAAAUAACUUGUGGCAAGCUGCAAAAAGAGAUUGCAUUAGAGCUGCUCCCUGCCCCUAACUAGUCCACUUACGCUUGGGCAUUACAAGAGCUUGCAGAUUACCUUAACAUCCACGUGGAAAGAAGUGAAAAAAAUAAUUAAGGAAGAUCCUCGGUGCAUUAAGUUCUCCUCCAGUGACAGGAAAAAACAAAGGGAGUUUGAAGAAUACAUCAGAGACAAAUACAUCACUGCCAAAGCUGACUUCAGGACACUUUUGAAAGAGACCAAAUUCAUUACAUACAGAUCCAAAAAGUUAAUCCAAGAAUCUGAUCAGCACCUGAAAGAUGUAGAAAAGAUUUUGCAGAAUGACAAACGGUAUCUAGUACUGGACUGUGUCCCCGAGGAGAGGAGGAAACUAAUUGUGGCCUAUGUUGAUGACCUGGAUCGCCGAGGUCCACCCCCACCUCCCACAGCAUCAGAGCCCACUAGACGAUCAACAAAAUAAUUCUAAAUACCCUUCCACGGGCUCGCUGUUAAUUGAAAAUGCUUGCAUGAGCCAGAUUUUCAGGUUUUUACAUAUAUGCAUUAGUCAACCUAUUGCAAAAUCACCUGACGAACAGAAGGAGAAGCGGUUGUGGGCAGUCUCAGAACGGAACACUUUGAAAAUAGUUAAUGCUUUUCUUUGUGUGGCAUGACUGACAUACAUACUCAAAUAUAGGCUGUCUCUAGUAAAUUUAAAAUCUCGAAGCUAAAAGUCAUCCUUUUAUAAGGUGUGGAAGCCAGUGACUUGGUGAUGUUCUUACUAGCAGUGUUACUCAGCAAGACAGGAGAGUUUGUGGUAGGAGCUUGGAAAUACCACAGACUCCAGGAAAACUGAAGUUGGAGUUUGUUUUUGAUUUUGUUUUUUAAGCGGGUAAAAGAGAAAACACUGAAUUGAAUUCUUCCAGAGACUAUGGUUAUUAUAAUGGACGUACUUUUACCUUUGUCUCUAAAGAGCAGUUUAGUUGUAUUUGUUCACGUAUGUGCUUUGAUUCUCCCCUCCGGAGUUAUAGGCCAAGUCUUGUUUACCCCAGGAGAAGAUGUAUUUAGUAAUUUCUUCUCAGGUAUGAACCACAUUCAUAACUAACAUGUUGGCCAGAGUGGAAUCCUGGUUUAAACAUUCUUUAUUCUCCAUUGAAUGAUCUCUACCAAUAUUCUCAAUUAGACAACAAAACUCCCUUUCUGGGUGUUCCUGUAAACUACUCCUGUUUGAAUGUUUGAACUUUUGUUUCUAAAAAGUUUAAGAUGUUUGAAUGUUGAAUUUAUGUAUUUGAACUACAAUAAACCAACCCUUUUAUAUAUGUGGAUUGUAAAUGAUUAUUGUUACACAAUAUAUUUUUUAAAAACUCGUA